UACGAACCGUGCGAACGUUGUUCGGAAUUACUGGGCUUAAAGGGCGCGUAGGCGGGCAAGCAAGUCCGGGGUGAAAUCUUUCGGCUCAACCGGAAAAGUGCCUUGGAUACUGCUUGUCUCGAGGGAGGUAGGGGUUGCUGGAACUUCCGGUGGAGCGGUGAAAUGCGUUGAUAUCGGAAGGAACGCCGGUGGCGAAAGCGAGCAACUGGAUCUCUUCUGACGCUGAGGCGCGAAAGCUAGGGGAGCAAACGGG
rnacentral:rRNA from 1 species